rnacentral:rRNA from 1 species
UGGGGAAUUUUGGACAAUGGGCGAAAGCCUGAUCCAGCAAUGCCGCGUGUGUGAAGAAGGCCUUCGGGUUGUAAAGCACUUUUGUCCGGAAAGAAAUCCUUGGCUCUAAUACAGUCGGGGGAUGACGGUACCGGAAGAAUAAGCACCGGCUAACUACGUGCCAGCAGCCGCGGUAAUACGUAGGGUGCAAGCGUUAAUCGGAAUUACUGGGCGUAAAGCGUGCGCAGGCGGUUUGCUAAGACCGAUGUGAAAUCCCCGGGCUCAACCUGGGAACUGCAUUGGUGACUGGCAGGCUAGAGUAUGGCAGAGGGGGGUAGAAUUCCACGUGUAGCAGUGAAAUGCGUAGAGAUGUGGAGGAAUACCGAUGGCGAAGGCAGCCCCCUGGGCCAAUACUGACGCUCAUGCACGAAAGCGUGGGGAGCAAACAGGAUUAGAUACCCUGGUAGUCCACGCCCUAAAACGAUGUCAACUAGUUGUUGGGGAUUCAUUUCCUUAGUAACGUAGCUAACGCGUGAAGUUGACCGCCUGGGGAGUACGGUCGCAAGAUUAAAACUCAAAUGGAAUUGACGGGGUCAAGCUGUUUCCU